UACGUAGGGUGCAAGCGUUAAUCGGAAUUACUGGGCGUAAAGCGUGCGCAGGCGGUGAUGUAAGACAGUUGUGAAAUCCCCGGGCUCAACCUGGGAACUGCAUCUGUGACUGCAUCGCUGGAGUGCGGCAGAGGGGGAUGGAAUUCCGCGUGUAGCAGUGAAAUGCGUAGAUAUGCGGAGGAACACCGAUGGCGAAGGCAAUCCCCUGGGCCACAACUGACGCUGAGGAGCGAAAGCGUGGGGAGCGAACAGG
rnacentral:rRNA from 1 species